rnacentral:rRNA from 1 species
GGGACACGUGGUAUCCUGUCUGAAUAUGGGGGGACCAUCCUCCAAGGCUAAAUACUCCUGACUGACCGAUAGUGAACCAGUACCGUGAGGGAAAGGCGAAAAGAACCCCGGCGAGGGGAGUGAAAAAGAACCUGAAACCGUGUACGUACAAGCAGUGGGAGCCUCUUUUAUGGGGUGACUGCGUACCUUUUGUAUAAUGGGUCAGCGACUUAUAUUCUGUAGCAAGGUUAACCGAAUAGGGGAGCCGAAGGGAAACCGAGUCUUAACUGGGCGUUAAGUUGCAGGGUAUAGACCCGAAACCCGGUGAUCUAGCCAUGGGCAGGUUGAAGGUUGGGUAACACUAACUGGAGGACCGAACCGACUAAUGUUGAAAAAUUAGCGGAUGACUUGUGGCUGGGGGUGAAAGGCCAAUCAAACCGGGAGAUAGCUGGUUCUCCCCGAAAGCUAUUUAGGUAGCGCCUCGUGAAUUCAUCUCCGGGGGUAGAGCACUGUUUCGGCAAGGGGGUCAUCCCGACUUACCAACCCGAUGCAAACUGCGAAUACCGGAGAAUGUUAUCACGGGAGACACACGGCGGGUGCUAACGUCCGUCGUGAAGAGGGAAACAACCCAGACCGCCAGCUAAGGUCCCAAAGUCAUGGUUAAGUGGGAAACGAUGUGGGAAGGCCCAGACAGCCAGGAUGUUGGCUUAGAAGCAGCCAUCAUUUAAAGAAAGCGUAAUAGCUCACUGGUCGAGUCGGCCUGCGCGGAAGAUGUAACGGGGCUAAACCAUGCACCGAAGCUGCGGCAGCGACACUAUGUGUUGUUGGGUAGGGGAGCGUUCUGUAAGCCUGUGAAGGUGUACUGUGAGGUAUGCUGGAGGUAUCAGAAGUGCGAAUGCUGACAUAAGUAACGAUAAAGCGGGUGAAAAGCCCGCUCGCCGGAAGACCAAGGGUUCCUGUCCAACGUUAAUCGGGGCAGGGUGAGUCGACCCCUAAGGCGAGGCCGAAAGGCGUAGUCGAUGGGAAACAGGUUAAUAUUCCUGUACUUGGUGUUACUGCGAAGGGGGGACGGAGAAGGCUAUGUUGGCCGGGCGACGGUUGUCCCGGUUUAAGCGUGUAGGCUGGUUUUCCAGGCAAAUCCGGAAAAUCAAGGCUGAGGCGUGAUGACGAGGCACUACGGUGCUGAAGCAACAAAUGCCCUGCUUCCAGGAAAAGCCUCUAAGCAUCAGGUAACAUCAAAUCGUACCCCAAACCGACACAGGUGGUCAGGUAGAGAAUACCAAGGCGCUUGAGAGAACUCGGGUGAAGGAACUAGGCAAAAUGGUGCCGUAACUUCGGGAGAAGGCACGCUGAUAUGUAGGUGAAGUCCCUCGCGGAUGGAGCUGAAAUCAGUCGAAGAUACCAGCUGGCUGCAACUGUUUAUUAAAAACACAGCACUGUGCAAACACGAAAGUGGACGUAUACGGUGUGACGCCUGCCCGGUGCCGGAAGGUUAAUUGAUGGGGUCAGCGCAAGCGAAGCUCUUGAUCGAAGCCCCGGUAAACGGCGGCCGUAACUAUAACGGUCCUAAGGUAGCGAAAUUCCUUGUCGGGUAAGUUCCGACCUGCACGAAUGGCGUAAUGAUGGCCAGGCUGUCUCCACCCGAGACUCAGUGAAAUUGAACUCGCUGUGAAGAUGCAGUGUACCCGCGGCAAGACGGAAAGACCCCGUGAACCUUUACUAUAGCUUGACACUGAACAUUGAGCCUUGAUGUGUAGGAUAGGUGGGAGGCUUAGAAGUGUGGACGCCAGUCUGCAUGGAGCCGACCUUGAAAUACCACCCUUUAAUGUUUGAUGUUCUAACGUGGACCCGUGAUCCGGGUUGCGGACAGUGUCUGGUGGGUAGUUUGACUGGGGCGGUCUCCUCCUAAAGAGUAACGGAGGAGCACGAAGGUUGGCUAAUCCUGGUCGGACAUCAGGAGGUUAGUGCAAUGGCAUAAGCCAGCUUGACUGCGAGCGUGACGGCGCGAGCAGGUGCGAAAGCAGGUCAUAGUGAUCCGGUGGUUCUGAAUGGAAGGGCCAUCGCUCAACGGAUAAAAGGUACUCCGGGGAUAACAGGCUGAUACCGCCCAAGAGUUCAUAUCGACGGCGGUGUUUGGCACCUCGAUGUCGGCUCAUCACAUCCUGGGGCUGAAGUAGGUCCCAAGGGUAUGGCUGUUCGCCAUUUAAAGUGGUACGCGAGCUGGGUUUAGAACGUCGUGAGACAGUUCGGUCCCUAUCUGCCGUGGGCGCUGGAGAACUGAGGGGGGCUGCUCCUAGUACGAGAGGACCGGAGUGGACGCAUCACUGGUGUUCGGGUUGUCAUGCCAAUGGCACUGCCCGGUAGCUAAAUGCGGAAGAGAUAAGUGCUGAAAGCAUCUAAGCACGAAACUUGCC